rnacentral:tRNA from 31 species
GCGGGCGUAGCUCAAUGGUAGAGCGCCAGCUUCCCAAGCUGGACACGCGGGUUCGAUUCCCGUCGCCCGCUCCA